UACGUAGGGGGGCAAGCGUUGUCCGGAUUUAUUGGGCGUAAAGAGCGUGUAGGCGGCCAGACAGGUCCGUUGUGAAAACUCGAGGCUCAACCUCGAGCUGUCGGUGGAAACUGUCUGGCUAGAGUCCGGAAGAGGAGAGUGGAAUUCCUGGUGUAGCGGUGAAAUGCGCAGAUAUCAGGAAGAACACCUAUGGCGAAGGCAGCGUCUCUGGGACGGUACUGACGCUGAGACGCGAAAGCGUGGGGAGCGAACAGG
rnacentral:rRNA from 1 species